rnacentral:rRNA from 1 species
UACGUAGGGUGCAAGCGUUGUCCGGAAUUAUUGGGCGUAAAGAGCUCGUAGGCGGUUUGUCGCGUCGAAUGUGAAAACCCGGGGCUCAACCCCGGGCCUGCAUUCGAUACGGGCAGACUAGAGUUCGGUAGGGGAGUCUGGAAUUCCUGGUGUAGCGGUGAAAUGCGCAGAGUAUCAGGAGGAACACCGGUGGCGAAGGCGGGACUCUGGGCCGAUACUGACGCUGAGGAGCGAAAGCGUGGGGAGCGAACAGGA